UUGUCACACAGCCACGCGGCAGAAGGAUGGACACACAUGUUUGUCACACAGCCACGCGGCAGAAGGAUGGACACACAUGUUUGUCACACAGCCACGCGGCAGAAGGAUGGACACACAUGUUUGGAAAGCAUUUUAUCAGCAGCAAAGGAAACUGGAAACUAACCCAAUAGCUGGCUUUUUGAAAACACAAUGCGAUGCUACACAGCGAAGUUAAGGACAUGGAUAAACACAUGUUGCACCAUACAGAAUGCAUGCUAUAGAGAAGUGAAAAGACAGUAUGUGUUAUGUGACCGUAGUUCAGAUGGCAGAUAGCGGGCGAUUUUUACUUUGAUUUUCUUAUUUAUUUUUCCCCAAAAAUAAACAUGUAUUGCCUUCAGCUAAGGAAACUAAAAGUUGUGACAACUCAAAUAAUAAACAAAUUAGUGCCAACAGUUACAGCUAAGACUUAAAGUCAGAAUCUAUUAAUCACGCUUACUUUCUAUAUACCAAAAACCAUAUCCCCAUUUUAAUAUUUAAAUUUUCUCUAGAGCAGAUCUCUAGCUAUAAAGCUUAUUUAAAAUGUAAAGAUCUAAUAAAUAAAAUUGACACCAAGUGUGCAAAACAUCAACUCUACUCAUCAAGUCCAAACUGAAAUGGAAGUCAAAGGAUUCUAAAGAUGAAGGAGUUGGCCAUGAGGCUCAGCAACAAAACGUUGCCUGGCAGACACAGAGCCCUGGGUCCAACCCAACUCUGAAAAGAAACAGAAAGUGAGCGUGAGCUGGCCGAGCCUCUCCUGAAAGUGACUUAUGAAGACGUGCUUGAAGCUUUGAGAGCUGCGCAAGCCUUUGUCUCUGCUCUGCUCUACAGGUGCAGUCUAACGACGCACCCGGAGAAGGGAUCCGUAACCAAACCCUACAGACCAGGCUUACCCAGCAGCUAAGGUAGAGCCAGAAAGCGCUGGUUUGAGAAGGCUGAGGCCCUGUGUUUAGCUGCACAGUUCCAGCAACCAGGACAAGGCAGCACCCAACUCAGUUCCUGCUCAGCGAUGGGAGCUGCUCUGCUCCACCUGUUUUCCUGAAGCUGUCCGUCAGGUACUCUGCCACAGCAAUGGAAGUCUGACUAGCACACGGACGCCACUAACAUCAAGGAUCCCAAGAUGAAGAGCACCUGUACUUCAGUCUCCGAGGGAACCAACCCUGCCCAUACUUUCAUGUCAACUUUCUACCUCUAGAGCUAAGAGAAAGCUCGUCACUUUCAAAGCCUGGCCUACAGGCUCCCAGCAGCCCUGUCUGUAUGGACUGUGCAGCUUUUGAGAAGGACGCAGAGCACUUAAAUUUAGGGCCGGUGAGAUGGCGCGUUGGUAACUGUGCUGGUUGCUGAGCCUGACUACCUGAGUUCCAUCCCUGGAGCUGCACAGAGAAGAAGAAGACCAACUUCACUCUCUUCUGACCUGUACCCGUGGUCCUUAGCACCCCACCCACAAAUAAACAACAAACAGACCCCAAAUAAACUCCAAUGUUUCUCACGUUGUUUUUAUUUUUCUUGCAAUUUUUUGCAUUAAAGAAAUUUGGCUCCUCUUUUUUUUUUUAAUUUGAAUGUAAGUUAGUAUGUUCUGUGUAUAAUAUACAUAAGAAUUAUGUAUUUCAGUUACAUACUGAUCAUCUUGUUUUCAAAUCUGAUAGAUUUAUAGGUAUUACAGGCUUCUGUUUUCUAUGUGGAUAGGGUUUUCUUACAGCCUGCACACGGCUGCCACUGUUCAUUUUCUUUCAGUUAAAAUACUGAAAAAAUGUAUGUGUGGGUGUUCUGCCUGUAUGUAUGUCUGGACACCAUGUGUGUGCCUAGGGCCCAGGGAGGUC